UAAAGAUUCUUAAAAUGGUGCGGGCUAACCCUGUGGGAACUGACCUAGCGCUUGACUUUGUAAUCACGAACUAUUUCAAUGCAACGAAACAGUGGGGAAAUGGAGGUUAUGCUUUCCGCAACCUUGUCGGCUCCCUUAACACUGAUGAUCAGAAGCAAAAGAUCACUAACUUCCUGCAGUCACACAAUGCUACUCUAACUGAUUUUGCCAGAGCCAAUAUAAAGUACACCGUGACCACUUUGGAGAAAAACAUGCAAUGGAAUAGCGAAUUCAAAGAAGCAUUUGCGAAGUUCUUGGGGUCACACGAUAGUGGUGAUAGUACCAACGGUUUACUUAUUGCGUUGUUCGCAAUUAUUGUUUUGAUCGCAUUGGCUUUUGUGUUGAAAAAAUUUUUCUUGAAUAAGCAGAACAAUGGGAUUAUAACAAAACCCUGAUUUCUAAUCUGUUCCAACCAAUGUUUUCAUCUAGAGGCUUGCGACAAAUGUAAAUGUACAUAUUGUAAUUAGACAUUAUCUAGCAUGUAUUACCUAUUAGACUGU